rnacentral:rRNA from 1 species
GCUACCGGGCGACCGGAUGCGGAUCUCGAAAGCCUGUCCCAGUUCGGACUGGAGUCUGCAACCCGACUCCACGAAGUUGGAUUCGCUAGUAAUCGCGCAUCAGCCAUGGCGCGGUGAAUACGUUCCCGGGCCUUGUACACACCGCCCGUCAAGCCAUGGGAGCCGGGGGCGCCUGAAGUCCGGGACCGCGAGGACCGGCCUAGGGCGAAACUGGUAACUGGGGCUAAGUCGUAACAAGGUAAC